rnacentral:rRNA from 1 species
UUUUCUUCCUGGGAGCGACCAACUGCAAGUGCUGCUACUCGUAAAUACAACUUAAUGUUGUCUGUUAUUGAUUUGUUUUGUUACUCGGGCCCUGAAACUGAAGUAUUGGAGUUUAUUGUUGAACGAAAAUUCAAAGCACCUCAACUUUCUACAAAAUCUUCUUCUAGGAAAUGCUCCAACAAUGAAAUAUCUCGAAAAUCGUUUACGUUUGAUUCCUCUAACAGAAGAUGAAACUCUCGCUGCGGUUUUACACGGCAAGAAUUAGCUUAAAACAAAUCACGAAUUUAACCACCUGACGUUACUUAAAGGUGCCAAACUAUUGAAAAAUCUUUGUGGAGGAAGCCCAGUCAAUUAUCUUUUUCGGAAAAGGCUAAUUGUGAAGAUGAAGACAACAGAAUUCAUCUUGACCGAGGCGAUAGAUAUAAUCGAAAUUGACGACU